rnacentral:rRNA from 1 species
AUUGAACGCUGGCGGCAGGCUUAACACAUGCAAGUCGAGCGGGGAAGUAUAGCUUGCUAUACGACCUAGCGGCGGACGGGUGAGUAAUGCUUAGGAAUCUGCCUAUUAGUGGGGGACAACAUUCCGAAAGGAAUGCUAAUCCCGCAUACGCCCUACGGGGGAACGCAGGGGAUCUUCGGACCUUGCGCGAAUAGAUGAGCCUAAGUCAGAUUAGCUAGUUGGGGGGGUAAAGGCCUACCAAGGCGACGAUCUGUAGCGGGUCUGAGAGGAUGAUCCGCCACACUGGGACUGAGACACGGCCCAGACUCCUACGGGAGGCAGCAGUGGGGAAUAUUGGACAAUGGGCGCAAGCCUGAUCCAGCCAUGCCGCGUGUGUGAAGAAGGCCUUUUGGUUGUAAAGCACUUUAAGCGAGGAGGAGGCUACUUGGAUUAAUACUCUAGGAUAGUGGACGUUACUCGCAGAAUAAGCACCGGCUAACUCUCUGCCAGCCGCCGCAGUAA